rnacentral:rRNA from 1 species
UACCAGCACCCCGAGUGGUCGGGACGAUUAUUGGGCCUAAAGCAUCCGUAGCCGGUUCUACAAGUCUUCCGUUAAAUCCACCUGCUUAACAGAUGGGCUGCGGAGGAUACUAUGGAGCUAGGAGGCGGGAGAGGCAAGCGGUACUUAGUGGGUAGGGGUAAAAUCCGUUGAUCCAUUGAAGACCACCAGUGGCGAAGGCGGCUUGCCAGAACGCACUCGACGGUGAGGGAUGAAAGCUGGGGGAGCAAACCGGG